GAUGAACGCUAGCGGCAGGCCUAAUACAUGCAAGUCGAACGGGAUCCAGAUCAAAGCUUGCUUUGGUUUGGUGAGAGUGGCGUACGGGUGCGUAACGCGUGAGCAACCUACCCUUGUCAGGGGGUUAGCCCGGCGAAAGUCGGAUCAAUACCGCAUGACAUCAUUGAGAGGCAUCUUUCGAUGAUCAAAGAUUUAUCGGACAAGGAUGGGCUCGCGUGACAUUAGCUAGUUGGUAAGGUAACGGCUUACCAAGGCUACGAUGUCUAGGGGCUCUGAGAGGAGCAUCCCCCACACUGGUACUGAGACACGGACCAGACUCCUACGGGAGGCAGCAGUAAGGGAGAUUGGUCAAUGGACGGAAGUCUGAACCAGCCAUGCCGCGUGCAGGAAGACGGCGCUAGGGAUGGUAAACUGCUUUUAUACGGGAACAAACGUCGGUACGUGUACCGGUCUGAGUGUACCGUAAGAAUAAGGAUCGGCUAACUCCGUG
rnacentral:rRNA from 1 species